CUACUAUGUUCAGAGUUUGAUCCUGGCUCAGGAUGAAUGCUGGCGGCGUGCCUAAUACAUGCAAGUCGAGCGGUAACAGGGAGUCUCACCGUUUCCUUGACACACCUAGCGCAUUAUCGUAGGUUGUUGACUUCGAGGGAACAGUGAGAUUCUGCUGACGAGCGGCGGACGGCUGAGUAACGCGUGGGAACGGACCCCAAACUGAGGGAUAACGCACCGAAAGGUGUGCUAAUACCGCAUGUGAUCUUCGGAUUAAAGGAUUUAUCCGGUUUGGGACUGGCCUGCGUACGAUUAGAUAGUUGGUGAGGUAAUGGCUCACCAAGUCGACGAUCGUUAGAUGGUUUGAGAAGAUGAUCAUCCAGACUGGGACUGAGACACGGCCCAG
rnacentral:rRNA from 1 species